rnacentral:rRNA from 1 species
AUACGGAGGGUGCGAGCGUUAAUCGGAAUUACUGGGCGUAAAGCGCGCGUAGGCGGUUCGAUAAGUCUGAUGUGAAAGCCCUGGGCUUAACCUGGGAAUGGCAUUGGAUACUGUUGAACUAGAGUGCGAGAGAGGAGAGUGGAAUUCUCGGUGUAGCGGUGAAAUGCGUAGAUAUCGGGAGGAACAUCAGUGGCGAAGGCGGCUAUCUGGACCAACACUGACGCUGAGGUGCGAAAGCGUGGGGAGCAAACAGAAUUAGAAACCCGAGUAGUCC